rnacentral:rRNA from 1 species
CCGACCAAGGACGGGCCCGCGGCGGAUUAGCUUGUUGGUGAGGUAACGGCUCACCAAGGCUUCGAUCCGUAGCUGGUCUGAGAGGACGAUCAGCCACACUGGGACUGAGACACGGCCCAG